rnacentral:rRNA from 1 species
UACGUAGGGGGCGAGCGUUGUCCGGAGUUACUGGGCGUAAAGCGCACGCAGGCGGUCUGCUAAGUUUGGAGUGACAGUUGGUGGCUUAACUGCCAAAGUGCUUCGAAAACUGACAGACUUGAGGGCUUCAGAGGGACACGGAAUUCCGGGUGGAGUGGUGGAAUGCGUAGAGAUCCGGAAGAACACCGGUGGCGAAGGCGGCCUGCUGGGCUAUGGCUGACACUGGGCGGCGACGCGA